rnacentral:rRNA from 1 species
AGAGUUUGAUCCUGGCUCAGAUUGAACGCUGGCGGCAUGCCUUACACAUGCAAGUCGAACGGCAGCACGAGAGCUUGCUCUUGGUGGCGAGUGGCGAACGGGUGAGUAAUAUAUCGGAACGUACCCUAGAGUGGGGGAUAACGUAGCGAAAGUUACGCUAAUACCGCAUACGAUCUACGGAUGAAAGUGGGGGAUCGCAAGACCUCAUGCUCAUGGAGCGGCCGAUAUCUGAUUAGCUAGUUGGUGGGGUAAAAGCUCACCAAGGCGACGAUCAGUAGCUGGUCUGAGAGGACGACCAGCCACACUGGAACUGAGACACGGUCCAGACUCCUACGGGAGGCAGCAGUGGGGAAUUUUGGACAAUGGGCGCAAGCCUGAUCCAGCAAUGCCGCGUGAGUGAAGAAGGCCUUCGGGUUGUAAAGCUCUUUUGUCAGGGAAGAAACGGAGGACUCUAAUACAGAUCACUAAUGACGGUACCUGAAGAAUAAGCACCGGCUAACUACGUGCCAGCAGCCGCGGUAAUACGUAGGGUGCAAACGUUAAUCGGAAUUACUGGGCGUAAAGCGUGCGCAGGCGGUUGUGCAAGACAGAUGUGAAAUCCCCGGGCUCAACCUGGGAAUUGCAUUUGUGACUGCACGGCUAGAGUGUGUCAGAGGGGGGUAGAAUUCCACGUGUAGCAGUGAAAUGCGUAGAGAUGUGGAGGAAUACCGAUGGCGAAGGCAGCCCCCUGGGAUAACACUGACGCUCAUGCACGAAAGCGUGGGGAGCAAACAGGAUUAGAUACCCUGGUAGUCCACGCCCUAAACGAUGUCUACUAGUUGUCGGGUCUUAAUUGACUUGGUAACGCAGCUAACGCGUGAAGUAGACCGCCUGGGGAGUACGGUCGCAAGAUUAAAACUCAAAGGAAUUGACGGGGACCCGCACAAGCGGUGGAUGAUGUGGAUUAAUUCGAUGCAACGCGAAAAACCCUACCUACCCUUGACAUGUCUGGAAUCCUUGAGAGAUCAGGGAGUGCUCGAAAGAGAAUCAGAACACAGGUGCUGCAUGGCUGUCGUCAGCUCGUGUCGUGAGAUGUUGGGUUAAGUCCCGCAACGAGCGCAACCCUUGUCAUUAGUUGCUACGAAAGGGCACUCUAAUGAGACUGCCGGUGACAAACCGGAGGAAGGUGGGGAUGACGUCAAGUCCUCAUGGCCCUUAUGGGUAGGGCUUCACACGUCAUACAAUGGUACAUACAGAGGGCCGCCAACCCGCGAGGGGGAGCUAAUCCCAGAAAGUGUAUCGUAGUCCGGAUUGUAGUCUGCAACUCGACUACAUGAAGUUGGAAUCGCUAGUAAUCGCGGAUCAGCAUGUCGCGGUGAAUACGUUCCCGGGUCUUGUACACACCGCCCGUCACACCAUGGGAGCGGGUUUCACCAGAAGUGGGUAGCCUAACCGCAAGGAGGGCGCUCACCACGGUGGGAUUCGUGACUGGGGUGAAGUCGUAACAAGGUA